GCUGCCCUUAGAGCCAUUGUAGAUGUGGCUGCGCUUUCACAUGUUCAUCAGUGGGUGGCAGAGAAGAGAGGGGCUAUGUCCACACUCAGUGUUCUGACCUAUGAAUAUGUAAAGGAUUAAUGCAACAUU
ensembl:snoRNA LOC120097258 small nucleolar RNA SNORA17